CGGGGAAUAGCCCAGAGAAAUUUGGAUUAAUACCCCAUAAUAUAUUUGAUAAGGCAUCUUAUUAAUAUUAAAGCUUCGGCACUUGAUGAUGGGUGUGCGGCUGAUUAGAUAGUUGGCGGGGUAACGGCCCACCAAGUCUACGAUCAGUAGCUGAUGUGAGAGCAUGAUCAGCCACACGGGCACUGAGACACGGGCCCGACUCCUACGGGAGGCAGCAGUAAGGAAUAUUGGACAAUGGACGAAAGUCUGAUCCAGCCAUGCCGCGUGAAGGAUUAAGGUCCUCUGGAUUGUAAACUUCUUUUAUAUGGGACGAAAAAAGGGCAUUCUUGUUCACUUGACGGUACCAUAUGAAUAAGCACCGGCUAACUCCGUG
rnacentral:rRNA from 1 species